CUGACCAGUUGAAGCCGCAGACCCACGGAGGCAGGAUGGCUGGCAGCUACCUUCCUUCGACCAGGGUCGCUCGACUGAGCCUGCUUCUGGUCGUAUUCAUUCUCCAGUGCCAGCCGAGCGAAGGCCAACUGUUCGUCGUUCGCCAGCCAGUGUAUGAUCCCAACUGGUGGAGAGACAAUUCCUACGAUUACAGGACUGACAGGGGAGACGACAACGUUUUCGCCACUCAGAGUCAGGAAGACUAUAGUGACUACACAGACACUCAGCACUCUGAGGACUACCCCACGAAGCAGGUUUCUCCGUGUCUUGGAGCCUCCCAAGGCUUUGAGCUCAGGCCCAGAGCCGCCUUUGGUUGUGCUUGCCCUCCCGGCAUGGAGCCAUGUGGCGAUGUGUGCUGCAAAACAUACAGCCCUCAGCCGAGCUCGGUCGAGCCGUGGUGGGGUCUGGGACGGUAAAGCGGGACGGCAGGA